UUUAAUGGCCGCAGUAAUUUAACUGUGCGAAGGUAGCAUAAUCAAUAGUUUUUUAAUUGAAAGCUUGUAUGAAAGGUUGGACGAAAUAAUAUCUGUCUUUAUUAUAUUUAUAUUAAAAUUUAAUUUUUAAGUUAAAAAGCUUAAAUUUUUUUAAAAGACGAGAAGACCCUAUAGAGUUUUAUAAUUUAAAAUUUAUAAUUAUUAUAGAUUAAUUAAUUUUAUAAAUUUAUAUUUAUUUUAUUGGGGUAAUAGAAAGAUUUAUUUAAUUCUUUUUUAUUUUAUUAUUUAUUUAUAUAUUUAUGAUCCUUUAUUAGAGAUUAUAAGAUUAAAUUACCUUAGGGAUAACAGCGUAAUUUUUUUUGAAAGUUCUUAUUGAUAAAAAAGAUUGCGACCUCGAUGUUGGAUUAAAGAUUAAUUUAGGUGCAAAAGUUUAAAUUUUUGGUCUGUUCGACCAUUAAAUCUUUACAUGAUCUGAGUUCAGACCGGUGUAAGCCAGGUCGGUUUCUAUCUUUAUAUAUUUAAAAUAUUUUAGUACGAAAGGACCAAAUAUUUAUUAAAUUAAUUUUUAUUUUGAAUAUUAAU
rnacentral:rRNA from 1 species